CUUGGGUUCCUCCUUCUUCUCGUUUGCCUUUUUCUGCUUCUGCUGCAUGAUCUCCGAGUCCCU
ensembl:miRNA